rnacentral:rRNA from 1 species
UACGUAGGGUGCAAGCGUUGUCCGGAAUUAUUGGGCGUAAAGGGCUCGUAGGCGGUCCAUCACGUCGGGAGUGAAAAGCUGGGGCUUAACCCCAGUCCUGCUUCCGAUACGGGCUGACUAGAGGUAUGCAGGGGAGAACGGAAUUCCUGGUGUAGCGGUGAAAUGCGCAGAUAUCAGGAGGAACACCGGUGGCGAAGGCGGUUCUCUGGGCAUUACCUGACGCUGAGGAGCGAAAGUGUGGGGAGCGAACAGG